UUGGGGGACGAACUCCGAUGUGGCUGCUAUAACCGUAGCCGCACAAAUGACUUCGACUCCGACGUCGACGCUGGCGUUGCUGUGGACGUUGACGCUGCUCCAGCGAUUCGUUACGUUAUGUGCCUACCCGCUCCCUCCCUCAUGCACACCCCACCAUCAGUCACAAAGAACAAACGCAACCCGUUGGUGUUGUUGCUCUUGCUGUUGUUGCUUGCUGUCGCCAAAAGUGAGCAAACCCCAGGCCUGAGGAGAAGAAAGAAAGCAGCAAGAAAUCUUUCUACUGCCGCGAGCGCAAAAGCAAAGCGUGUGAUUGCUCCUGAAAGCCCAAACAGUGUGCUCGUGUGUGUGUGUGCCAAGAUUAACUGUGUAUUGGUCGUGCUCGACUUGGUGCUAGCAUGGAGGCGACUUAAGCAACUUCCCUAGUGCCCUUCCUACGUUAAAGAAAUCUCCCAUCUCUCUCCACUUCCGAAUGAACCUGUCCAAACUAUUCAUACUGCUUAUACAAUUAUAUUUAUUUAUAUUUA